rnacentral:tRNA from 2 species
CUUCCCAUAACUUAGUUAGAAGAGUGCCACCUUGACAGGGUGGAGGUCGUGAGUUCGAGCCUCUCCGGGGUCA